rnacentral:rRNA from 1 species
AGCGAACGCUGGCGGCAGGCCUAAAACAUGCAAGUCGAACGCCCGUAGCAAUACGGGAGUGGCAGACGGGUGAGUAACACGUGGGAACGUGCCCUUUGGUUCGGAACAACACAGGGAAAC